rnacentral:rRNA from 1 species
UACGUAGGGGACGAGCGUUGUCCGGAAUUAUUGGGCGUAAAGAGCGUGUAGGCGGCUUAUCAAGUCCUGCGUGAAAUCUCGGGGCUCAACCCCGAGCGGUCGUGGGAAACUGGUUGGCUAGAGUGCGGGAGAGGAGAGUGGAAUUCCCAGUGUAGCGGUGAAAUGCGCAGAUAUUGGGAAGAACACCCGUGGCGAAGGCGGCUCUCUGGAACGCAACUGACGGCUG